GACGAACGCUGGCGGCGUGCUUAACACAUGCAAGUCGAACGGAAAGGCCCCCACUUUUUUGGUGGGGGUGCUCGAGUGGCGAACGGGUGAGUAACACGUGGGUGAUCUGCCCUGUACUUCGGGAUAAGCUUGGGAAACUGGGUCUAAUACCGGAUAGGACCAUGGUUUAGUGUCUCAUGGUGGAAAAAUUAUUGUUUUGGUGCAGGAUGAGCUCGCGGCCUAUCAGCUUGUUGGUGGGGUAAUGGCCUACCAAGGCGUCGACGGGUAGCCGGCCUGAGAGGGUGGACGGCCACAUUGGGACUGAGAUACGGCCCAGACUCCUACGGGAGGCAGCAGUGGGGAAGAUUGCACAAUGGGCGCAAGCCUGAUGCAGCGACGCCGCGUGGGGGAUGACGGCCUUCGGGUUGUAAACUCCUUUCGUUAGGGACGAAGCCGCACCUUUUUUGGGUGUGGUGACGGUACCUUUGUUAAGAAGCACCGGCUAACUACGUG
rnacentral:rRNA from 1 species